GUUGCCUCUUAGCCAGCUGAACUCAGAAAUUCCUGUUCUCCUGGGCUCCAGCCAGCUGAGAGCUCUCCUGCCUCACGUUUGUCCUCCCCGAGCAUCUCCUGGCAGCUUUUCCAGCUCUCCCUCUCGGGGUCCUGCCCAGAGGGACAAAUGGGGCCGAGCCUCAGCGUGGCCUCCAGCAGGACGUGUCCCUCUGAGAAGGUGAUCUCCCCCCAGAGAGGCUUUUUCAGCGCUGCCCAGCACAAAGACAGCCUCCAGAAGGUUUUCUGCUGCCCUUCAGCAGUGCAGACCUUAAACAUGGAGAGGAUUUUUACAGUGAAUAGCUUAAAUAGGGAGCAGCUGUGCCAGACGAGGCCUUUUGGGUGCCAGAGGAGGAAUUUUAACCCAUCCUGGAGCUCAGCUGCAGCAGCUCUGCCCCUGUUGCCUCUCAUGGAUGCACUGACUGGAUAUCCUGGAGAUGCAAAACCUUUCCACCUCCUGGAGGUCUCAAACCUUUGCUUUGUACCUGUGCAGCUUCGCCACAACCAGCUGGAGUUCAGCCUCAAAAGAAGGAUGUGGUUUUGCCCAGUAUUUCAAUUUGAUCCAACACCCCUGCCUGGUGGUGUUCCACCAAACUGCUCCUGAUCCAGAGGUGCUGGUGCAUCCAGAGGGACGUGGCUGGCUCAUGGACCAGACUGGAGAUGGUGGAGAAAUGAGAAUGUCAGCUAUGCUGAAUUCCAGGUUUAAGACUUUGAGGAGAUCCUUCUGCUUUCCCUGGGAGUGGAGCCUUGGGAGAGGAGCUGAGGAGCAGCCCUGGAGUGCCCUUGGGAGGAUGGUGACCUGAGGCCUCCUGUGAGUGACCAUCACCUGGCUCCCCCAGGUACCUCCCCUGCCCUUUCCUGGCUGUUUUAUCCCCAGAGGAUCCAUCUGCUGCUUUUCCCUUGAUUGCUGUAAACAGAAUUCCUCCCAAGGCUGCUGUAGCCAUUCCUAGCCAAGCUGAGGGAUGACCUGUCCCUUCCCAGUUAUUUAAUGAACAGCAUUUACUGGGAUCCCCAGUAAGAGUCUCUGGCUCUCCCUGAAAUGCUUUCUGAGCUGAAAACCAGAUAAUAUUGGGAGUAACUUGGACAUUUUGGGAUAUUUCAUGUCAAAGGAAUAUGGUAGAAUUACACAAUAAGUAUUGGUUCCCAUUUA
rnacentral:lncRNA from 1 species